ensembl:rRNA 5S_rRNA 5S ribosomal RNA
GUCUAUUACCAUGCCACCUGAAUGUGCCUGAUCUUGUCUGGGUUUGGAAGUUAAGCAGGGUGGUUAAUCCUGGGAUGGGAGGCUACCUGGGAAUACCCGGUGUUGUAGGCU